rnacentral:rRNA from 1 species
UACGGAGGGUGCGAGCGUUGUCCGGAAUCAUUGGGCGUAAAGGGCGCGUAGGUGGCCCGGUCAGUCUUUGGUGAAAGCGCGGGGCUCAACCCUGCGUCGGCCAGGGAUACUGCCGCGGCUCGAGCACUGUAGAGGCAGGCGGAAUUCCGGGGGUAGCGGUGAAUGCGUAGAGAUCCGGAAGAACACCGGUGGCGAAGGCGGCCUGCUGGGCAGUUUAGCUGACACUGAGGCGCGACAGCGUGGGGAGCAAACAGG